GAGCGCCGGCGUCCGCGCGGCUCGGCGGGACUCGCGCCCGGGACAAUGGGGCCAUGUGGCCGCCGCCGCGCGCGGACGGGCCCACGCGGGGCGCGCUCGGGGCGCGCAGCGGAGGCUCCCCGGUGCUCGCUCCGCGCGUGAGCCCGGGAGGAGCGCGAGCGCCCGGGCCCCGGUGUGCCAUGCGUGCAGAGGGGGCCCGGCCGUACCUGCCCGGCCACCUCGUAGGGUCGGAGAAGUGACUGUGACAGUAGAUGCGGUCGCGCUGGGCACUCAGUGGGCAGGGCCGCAAACGCCCUUGGUGCUUCCCCCGUGGCUCACCUGGAGCUGUCUUGGAGGAGAGCAGAUCAUGGAGGCGGGCGCUCUGUCCGGCCGUAGCUCCUGACGUUCAGUGAGGUCGCACAUCUUAGCCCACUUGGAGCGUGAGCUCAAACUCUGGCCUGAGGAAUUCACGGAGGGCUGCCGAUGGCACCGAGGAAAGUGCUGACGGUGCAGGAAUGCACGUGGCAGAGAGGGGUCCCUCCCCCGGGAACCCUUGUCAUGUCCAAAGGCAGUUACGCAGCAGGGAAAGUCCAUUCUGGGAACUAGGAUCGGAAUCCAGCAACCCCAGAGCCCAAACUCCAAGCAGCCAAACUUCUCAGAUAGAAGUGUGUCCAGAAGACAACCAAGACUGAAAAGACUCAAAAUCGUGGUGGAAGAGAUGUAAUCGGUGGAAGGAGCCGGGACUCUUGCAAGAGGAAAGUCUUGGGGCUGAAAGUAUUUAUUCGUCAGAGUUGAGGAUGACAGAUGACAAAAUAAUAACACUGAAUUAAAUAAAAGGUGAAGUGCAUCACGA